AGAGAGAGACAUGCGCGCAUAUCAAUAAGCGGAGGAAAAGAAACUAACAAGGAUUCCCUUAGUAACGGCGAGUGAAGCGGGAAGAGCUCAAAUUUGAAAUCUUCAAGGUUCUACCUUGACGAAUUGUAGUUUAAAGAAGUGUUUUCUGCUGAAGUUUUGGUAAAAGCUCUUUGGAAUAGGACAUCAUAGAGGGUGAGAAUCCCGUAUUUGACCAUUAUUUUCAGCUUUGUGAUACACUUUCAAAGAGUCGGAUUGUUUGGGAAUGCAGUCCAAAAUGGGUGGUAAAUUUCAUCUAAAGCUAAAUAUUGGCGAGAGACCGAUAGCGAACAAGUACCGUGAGGGAAAGAUGAAAGGAACUUUGAAAAGAGAGUUAAACAGUACGUGAAAUUGUCAAAAGGGAAGCGUUUGACACCAGUGUUGUUUUCUCGAAAAUCAAUUAAAAAUGGCUCGAUUUUGUAUUGCUUGAGACCUUAAAAGCUCACUGUACAUUUUUCGUGUCUUUUUUAAUGCACUUUUCGUUUAACAAGUCAACAUCAGUUUCUCUUUGUUGUAAAAGGGUCAUUGGAAGGUGGCUUUCUUUUCGGAGAAAGUGUUUAUAGCCUUUGGCCUCUGCAAUCGGAGAGACUGAGGUCUGCAGCGUAGACUCUUCGGGGUUAGAUACAUUUGUGCUAAGUUAUAGCUUUUUAUAGACAACUUGUUGACUAUAAUUAGUCUUGUAGCUUACUCGCUUAUGCUAUUUUACCUACGCUUAGGAUGUUGAAGAUGUAGCACAUCAU
rnacentral:rRNA from 1 species